rnacentral:rRNA from 1 species
AGUAACGCGUGAGUAACCUGCCCUAGAGUGGGGGACAACAGUUGGAAACGACUGCUAAUACCGCAUAAGCCCACGGCUCGGCAUCGAGCAGAGGGAAAAGGAGCAAUCCGCUUUGAGAUGGCCUCGCGUCCGAUUAGCUAGUUGGUGAGGUAAUGGCCCACCAAGGCAACGAUCGGUAGCCGGACUGAGAGGUUGAACGGCCACAUUGGGACUGAGACACGGCCCAG